rnacentral:rRNA from 1 species
UACGGAAGGCAGCAGUGGGGAAUAUUGCACAAUGGGCGCAAGCCUGAUGCAGCCAUGCCGCGUGUAUGAAAAGGCCUUCGGGUUGUAAAGUACUUUCAGUCGUGAGGAAGGUGUUAAGGUUAAUAACCUUAGCAAUUGACGUUAGCGACAGAAGAAGCACCGGCUAACUCCGUGCCAGCAGCCGCGGUAAUACGGAGGGUGCGAGCGUUAAUCGGAAUUACUGGGCGUAAAGGGCACGCAGGCGGUUAAUUAAGUUGGAUGUGAAAUCCCCGGGCUUAACCUGGGAAUGGCAUUCAAGACUGGUUAGCUAGAGUCUUGUAGAGGGGGUAGAAUUCCAUGUGUAGCGGUGAAAUGCGUAGAGAUGUGGAGGAAUACCGGUGGCGAAGGCGGCCCCCUGGACAAAGACUGGACGCUCAUGUGCGAAAGCGUGGGGAGCAAACAGGGAUUAGAUACC